rnacentral:pre_miRNA from 1 species
UGGGAUUUUGUGGACCAGAAGAUUUCCUCCAUUCGAUAAUAGCUACUGGCCUACUAAGUCCCAACUU